rnacentral:rRNA from 1 species
UACGGAGGGUGCAAACGUUGCUCGGAAUUAUUGGGCGUAAAGCGCACGUAGGCGGCUUGUUAAGUCGGGUGUGAAAGCCCUGGGCUCAACCCAGGAAGUGCAUUCGAAACUGGCAAGCUUGAAUAUGGAAGAGGGUCGCGGAAUUCCCGGUGUAGAGGUGAAAUUCGUAGAUAUCGGGAGGAACACCGGUGGCGAAGGCGGCGACCUGGGUCGAUACUGACGCUGAGGUGCGAAAGCGUGGGGAGCAAACAGG